UCUCCGUUGGUGAACCAGCGGAGGGAUCAUUACCGAGUGCAAACUCAUAACCCUUUGUGAACCUAUAUCCGUUGCUUCGGCGGCUCGCUCUCGGGCGAGCCCGCCGGUAAUAUCAGUAUCUCUGUUUGAACCCGACGAUACUUCUGAGUGUUCUUAGCGAACAGUUAAAACUUUUAACAACGGAUCUCUUGGCUCUA
rnacentral:misc_RNA from 1 species